CACGUAGGGUGCGAGCGUUGUCCGGAAUUAUUGGGCGUAAAGAGCUCGUAGGCGGUGUGUCGCGUCGGCCGUGAAAACCUGCAGCUUAACUGUGGGCGUGCGGUCGAUACGGGCAUCACUGGAGUUCGGCAGGGGAGACUGGAAUUCCUGGUGUAGCGGUGAAAUGCGCAGAUAUCAGGAGGAACACCCGGGUGGCGAAGGCGGGUCUC
rnacentral:rRNA from 1 species